GUCUCUGUGGCGCAGCUGGUCCGCGCGUUCGGCUGUUAACCGAAAGGUUGGUGGUUCGAACCCACCCAGGGGCG